CAGUCGCCACGGUAACACAGAGGGUGCGAGCGUUAAUCGGAUUUACUGGGCGUAAAGCGUGCGUAGGCGGCUUUUUAAGUCGGAUGUGAAAUCCCUGAGCUUAACUUAGGAAUUGCAUUCGAUACUGGGAAGCUAGAGUAUGGGAGAGGAUGGUAGAAUUCCAGGUGUAGCGGUGAAAUGCGUAGAGAUCUGGAGGAAUACCGAUGGCGAAGGCAGCCAUCUGGCCUAAUACUGACGCUGAGGUACGAAAGCAUGGGGAGCAAACAGGAUUAGAUACCCCCGUAGUCCCUGUCUCUUAUAC
rnacentral:rRNA from 1 species